rnacentral:rRNA from 1 species
CCCUUCACUACGGAAUAGCCUCGGGAAACUGAGAGUAAUACCGUAUACGCCCUUUGGGGAAAGAUUUAUCGGUGAAGGAUUAGCCCGCGUCUGAUUAGAUAGUUGGUGGGGUAACGGCCUACCAAGUCGACGAUCAGUAGCUGGUUUGAGAGGAUGAUCAGCAACACUGGGACUGAGACACGGCCCAGACUCCUACGGGAGGCAGCAGUGGGGAAUCUUAGACAAUGGGCGCAAGUGAUCUAGCCAUGCCGCGUGAGUGACGAAGGCCUUAGGGUCGUAAAGCUCUUUCGCCAGGGAUGAUAAUGACAGUACCUGGUAAAGAAACCCCGGCUAACUCCGUGCCUGCAGCCGCGGUAAUACGGAGGGGGUUAGCGUUGUUCGGAAUUACUGGGCGUAAAGCGCGCGUAGGGGAUUGGAAAGUUGGGGGUGAAAUCCCGGGGCUCAACCCCGAACUGCCUCCAAAACUAUCAGUCUAGAGUUCGAGAGAGGUGAGUGGAAUUCCAAGUGUAGAGGUGAAAUUCGUAGAUAUUUGGAGGAACACCAGUGGCGAAGGGGCUCACUGGCUCGAUACUGACGCUGAGGUGCGAAAGUGUGGGGAGCAAACAGGAUUAGAUACCCUGGUAGUCCACACCGUAAACGAUGAAUGCCAGACGUCGGGGGGCUUGCCUUCGGUGUCACACCUAACGGAUUAAGCAUUCCGCCUGGG